rnacentral:rRNA from 1 species
GAUGAACGCUGACAGAAUGCUUAACACAUGCAAGUCUACUUGAUUCUACUUCGGUAGUUGAUGGUGGCGGACGGGUGAGUAACGCGUAAAGAAUCUGCCCUUUAGUUUGGGAUAACCUUUGGAAACGAAGGCUAAUACCGAAUAUUAUGGAGAUGUCGCAUGACGACUUCAUGAAAGCUAUAUGCGCUAGAGGAGGACUUUGCGUCCCAUUAGUUAGUUGGUGAGGUAAUGGCUCACCAAGACCGCGAUGGGUAGCCGGCCUGAGAGGGUGAUCGGCCACAAGGGAACUGAGACACGGUCCUUACUCCUACGGGAGGCAACAGUGGGGAAGAUUGGACAAUGGACCACAAGUCUGAUCCAGCAAUUCUGUGUGCACGAUGAAGGUCUUCGGAUUGUAAAGUGCUUUCAGUAGGGAAGAAAAAAAUGACGGUACCUACAGAAGAAGCGACGGCUAAAUAUGUGCCAGCAGCCGCGGUAAAAC